ACGAACGCUGGCGGCGUGCUUAACACCUGCAAGUCGAACGCUGAAGCUCAGCUUUUGUUGGGUGGAUGAGUGGCGAACGGGUGAGUAACACGUUAGUAACCUGCCCCCUUCUUUGGGAUAACGCCCGGAAACGGGUGCUAAUACUGGAUAUUCACUGGUCUUCGCAUGGGGGUUGGUGGAAAGGGUUUUUCUGGUGGGGGAUGGGCUCGCGGCCUAUCAGCUUGUUGGUGGGGUGAUGGCCUACCAAGGCUUUGACGGGUAGCCGGCCUGAGAGGGUGACCGGUCACAUUGGGACUGAGAUACGGCCCAGACUCCUACGGGAGGCAGCAGUGGGGAAUAUUGCAUAAUGGGCGCAAGCCUGAUGCAGCGACGCCGCGUGAGGGAUGGAGGCCUUCGGGUUGUGAACCUCUUUCGCUCAUGGUCAAGCCGCAACAAUGGUUGUGGUGAGGGUAGUGGGUAAAGAAGCGCCGGCUAACUACGUG
rnacentral:rRNA from 1 species